rnacentral:lncRNA from 1 species
AAAACCUUUGGUUUAGAAACAAAUGACCAAGUGAAAAUGAUACUGGAAAGACUGUUUACCGUUUGACUCCUGUCGCAAUCUAACCUAGUGGGUUUAAAAAGUCAGGACCGCGCUGGAAACAUGAAGGGGUUAAAAGGAUCAGCCUUUUUGAAUUAAUAGUCGAAGUCGGAACUAGCUCGCAUGAAAGGAUUUCUUGACGUGAAAUAAUUAAUUUU